UACGUAGGGGGCAAGCGGUUGUCCGGAAUCAUUGGGCGUAAAGGGUGCGUAGGCGGCGCGGUAAGUCGGGUGUGAAAUCUCGGAGCUUAACUCCGAAACUGCAUUCGAUACUGCCGUGCUUGAGGACUGGAGAGGAGACUGGAAUUUACGGUGUAGCGGUGAAAUGCGUAGAUAUCGUAAGGAAGACCAGUGGCGAAGGCGGGUCUCUGGACAGUUCCUGACGCUGAGGCACGAAGGUCAGGGGAGCAAACGGG
rnacentral:rRNA from 1 species